rnacentral:rRNA from 1 species
GUCCACGCCGUAAACGAUGGGUGCUAGGUGUGAGCGGUGUCGACUCCGCUCGUGCCGAAGCUAACGCAUUAAGCACCCCGCCUGGGGAGUACGGCCGCAAGGCUAAAACUCAAAGGAAUUGACGGGGGCCCGCACAAGCAGCGGAGCAUGUGGUUUAAUUCGACGCAACGCGAAGAACCUUACCAGGGCUUGACAUGCACGGGAAUGUCGUAGAAAUACGGCAGCCCUUCGGGGCUCGUGCACAGGUGGUGCAUGGCUGUCGU